rnacentral:lncRNA from 1 species
UUACAACGCCUCUACAUAGUGUACGUCGGUAUUGGCUUGCUCCUUGUAUUUUGUAACCCUCCAUCAAUGAAAUGAUACGCAUCUAGCGUAUUUGCACAAAAAAAGUUAAUAGAGGAGCCACAGCGGCCUCAGGUGAAUUUUCGUAAGCUCUGAACCACGCUAUCUGUUCGAAGUGAUUGCUACCAGCCAAACUCAAAGUAGGUCAGGAAUAGCAUGUCAGCAGGCAAGGUGCUCAGCGGCUGCACUCAUCUCAUCUGCUGAUUUUUCUUUAUUGAACAAGCUCAUCUGUUGAUUAGAAAUUUGAGAAAGAAGAACUCUCGUCUCCUCUCUGCUUCUUCUCACUUAUACUCUGUUUUCUCUGCUACUCUUCUCCGCCCCAUGAAGUCAUUUUAUGCAGGGCCGCUGGUCCAAGGCUCGUGCUCACAAAGUACGUAUCACCCAGAUUAUUAUUUGUAGUUUCAAGCAUUGCAUUCAGUUAGUGCCAACGUCCUUUUAACCCUAUGCAAUUUUCACAUCUUUUUUUUGGGAAAUGUUCGGAUUUUAGAAGAUCUUCAUGAACAUUUCACAAGACAUAGAGACUUGUUGAUUUCAUUAUUCUGCUUCUCAGGUUGAUGCCAUAUCUUGGUGUAAUUUUUUGCCUUGUGAGUGGACACCGAAGCCUGCAACCGUUUCACUUCAUUCUAAUAUAAUAUCACUGGUAUGAUAAGACGUGGAUGAUACUUCAGAAAAAAAAAGACCUAAAAUCAACAUGAAAUGAUGCUCAACGCCCUCCCUGCCAUGCCACGCCAAGCGGGCCGCCGCCAUGUUGACAUGCCAUGACGGCAGUCCAUACGGUAGCAGGAGACACAGUAUUUGCAUGGCAGGACAAGUUUGAGCACCACUUUUAUGUAUUUUACAAUUUAAGCAUCAAAACUAACCACACGAGCCAUGUUUAAACACACGCACUGUAUUUAACUUAAUAAAAAAUUAGGAGAAUGAACAUCACUGUAUGGCACGUGGACAUUGUAUAUUUGUAUCAUGAGUGCCUUUGUAGAUUGGUUUGUUUAGCCAUCGGUGUGACUUGUUUUGGCCAGGCUAGAUAACUGGACUCCCCUCACCUCCUAAUCUUCCGUUACGUGGUGGCAGACAUAUUGCAAUCAGUCUGGUGUUGUUAGUAUCAGUGUUACAUAUCGG